rnacentral:lncRNA from 1 species
UAUGAUAUAUCAUCCUGUUUAUAUAUGUAAUGUCCAGCCUCCCUUCUGUGUAGCUGAAAUGCAAUUCUUAUAUUAUAAUAAGAUUAUGUAUAAUAGUUAGUAUAAUAGCAUAAUAGAAGUAAUAAAUAAUUUUUUUAUAACUUACAAGAUAUUAAAUAACAAUAAAAUAAAGUCAAAUGACCAUAAAAAGAUAGGAUAACUGACAAUAAAAAAACUGAAGAUAGUAUGGUAUUAAGUCAAAUAACUAAAUUGAUGAAUAAGAUAAUGAUAUAUCAAUUAAUCAAUGAGAGAGGCCCAACAAUAUUGAACAUGUGUUGACUUACAUUUGGGAUGACAAUUAGGUAUGGGGUAAAUUUUUCUCUUACCACCUGACUUCAUCUGACAAUCCUAAGUUUUAGAUAGAAAUAAAAACUUGAUAGCUAUGAAAUAUAGUUACAAUAUAUGCAAAUCUUCAUUUUCUCUUUUAACCCUAUCUAAACUCAAUUUGUGCAUAAUCCCUUUAGUGUUGAAAUAUGAAUAUCCAAUCUUGUUCGACUCAAAAAUUCCUACAUGAUAGUUCCAAUUGACGUAAUUCCAAAAAAAGUGAAUCCAGAAACUCUUGAACCAAUUAAGAAUGAAUGAGGUUUGAUAUUUAAAAACCCUAACCCAAAAAAUUGAAAUAGAAAUGUGAUAACCUCACUCCAAAUUGAAACAGAAAACCCCUGUUACAAUGAAGAAAUAAAUAUACAAAAGGAGAAAAAUUUAAGAAACAACAAGAGUGAAAUGAUGCACAUCGUUCUAAACAAAAGGAACCAUAAAUAAUGAAAUUAAAGAUUCAUCUCUCGCAAGGAUAUAAAAUUGGAAUCUAAAACAUGAAAUGAAAUUCAUGAAACCCUGAACGUACAUUCAAAUUCAGAUUUCAAUAUUGUAACAGUGUAUAUGUUAGUGUAUAAUAUUAAUUUUAUAUUUAUAUAGAAGCAUGGUAAUAGCAAGUUGGCCGCACCCCAUUAUUUCAAAUUGUGAAUCUUAUCAACAGAUGUGAUUACAAUAUUAUAGUUGUUGUAAAUGCUGCAAUUAUAUCAUACCUUAAUUGUGGAGUGACAUAAACACAAUAAUACACCCACAUCAGACAAGUUGUAUGAUUAACUGAUGCAUGGAGCACAUGCUUCUAGACUUUGUGGUGAACCUCAAUAGACAGGAUGUUGGAAUAUUUUAAGAUGGGCUCAACAUCAAAUAGAAAAUUUAUGUCAACAUUGCAGAUCCAAGAGAAAAACAUCGUCUCUGCGGUGAGAAAACAAUGAAAGCAACAAGAUCAGCUUCAUAACGGAUCGAUUGUUUUCUUAUUGUUUUCUCUCCCGCGGAGAAGGUGUUGAUCAAUGGUAUUCCCUAAUUAACUUUAUCAAUGAUAAGAAACAAUCUUGA